ACCCCAUAUAAAACAUUCUCCCAAAAUAUUACAUCACAUAACACCUUCUUCGCAAAUAAAAUUUUCUCAUAUAACACUCCAUUCCACACACUAUAAAAUUAUUCUUUACCCAAUAAAAAAGGAGACACCAAAAAAAGGAGCCGCAAGAACAGACCCAAACGACCCCCAAAAAAUUUCUUCUUCAUCGAAGAACAGAAGCAGCAGCGGACUCCUUUCGACACCGCUAUCUCCGGCAAACAUCAACCAAAAACGAGCAAUGAGCACAUAUAGCACCCGUCCGAAUCAGCACUCAACAACAACCAUGAGAUUUGCUCGAAAUCGACCCCAAUAACCAGUAAAAGCAGACGCAAAUGGCUCAUUUUCAGGCCGUUCGCGUUCGAGUUUCCGGUACCGUCGAGGUCCUUGGUUGAGUCUUGGUCGCGAUUUCUCUGCUCUAUGUUUUUUCAAUUUCUCUUAUUGGAUUUCAGAUCUGAGGUCAGAUGUUACUUUUGUCCUUCCUUAAACUUUAAUCAAUCGAAUUUAAAUUCGUAGUUGGAUUCUGCUGAAGUCGUUGCUAACUGUUUCCUUCCUGAAUGAGUUGUUGUUUGAAUUAUUUAUGAUCUCUUAAUAGCAAUGGCAUGUGUUUGUUCUGAUGAUAUUAGUUUGAACGUUUCCUUCCUGAAUCUGCAAUCGGUUGGUUUUCAAGGAUGUAAAUGCCAUCGCAUUCACUUUUUCUUCGUAGCUAUGGUAAGAAAUUACCAUAAAUGUUUUUUGAGCUAAAAUCGGAUUGUCUUCGACUUUUCAGUGAUAACAUAAAUUAUUUAUUUAAUAGAUUAAUGGGUCAAUGUUACUAGAAGCACAAUUUGGAUUAUAUCUUAUAUAAGAGUGAUUUAUUUAAUAGGUGGAACUCAAUUAUUAACUUGUGCAUUUGUUCUUAGCUGCUGUUGUAUUCCAAGUUCAUUACUUGGAUUUUUAAUCGUUAAUUUGACCCGAUCAUCUCGGCGGCGAGCUAUUUAGAAAAUUUUUGUGACCCCCGCAAAGUUAAUCACGCGCUAGUUACUUUAGGCGCGUUAUUAAUAAUAUUAUAUUCCUAAAUAUGGGUGGGCAUUUUAUGCGGCCCAAAUCCUAAUCCUAAGAUGUUGAAUAAAGUGUGCCUAGGAUUGCGGUUGCAUUUGAUGCGGCACAAUCCGAAAACGCACAAUCCGAAAACACACUUUAAACGAUGUUCACUUUCUCUUAAAUAAAUAUUAUAUUAAAUAAAAGCGGUUAAGCAUAAAAUUGGCAGAUAGGCUCUUCAUGUAAUAAAAUCAGAUAAAAGCUAAAUGCAACAUUUGAGCGACCGUGCUAGAACCACGGAACCCGAGAAUGCCUAGCACCCUCUCCCGGGUUAACAGAAUUCCUUAACCGGAUUUCUGGUUCGCAGAAUGUGAACAGAGUCAUCUUUUUCCUCAGUUUGGGAAUCAAUCGGUGACUUGGGACACCAUUAAUCUCCCAAGUGGCGACUCUGAAUAAAUAAUACACAAAUCUCGUACCAAUUGUCCUUUAAUUGGAAAAACUUCUUUUACGCCCCUUUCGCGGAGGUGUACAGUGAAAAAGGGGGUGUGAUAUCCUGGUGUACUCGCGUAACCAAGAGGAGCACGCGCAACAUUUGAGGGUGGUAUUGCCGAGAUUAAAAGAGGAGAAGCUCUUUGAAAAGUUCUCCAAGUGUGAGUUAUGGCUUAGUUCUGUGGCUUUUCUAGGACACGUGGUGUCCAGGGAUAGUAUUCAGGCUGAUCCAAAGAAGAUAGCCGGUGCAGAGUUGGCCUACACCGUCCUCAGCCACUGAGAUUCAGAGUUUCCUCGGUUUGGAGGGUUAUUAUCGAAGGUUCGUUCAGGGUUUUUUAUCUAUUGUUUUGCCCUUGACGAAGUUGACACAGAAGAAUGCUCCAUUUGUGUGGUCGGAUGAGUGCGAGGAGAGCUUUUAGAAGCUUAAGACAGCUUUGACCACAACUCCGGUAUUAGUAUUGCCAUCAGCUUCAGGUUCUUACGCGGUGUAUUGUGAUGCUUCGAGAGUUGGGAUCAGUUGUGUAUUGAUGCAGGAGGGUAGAGUUAUUGCUUAUGCUUCUCGUCAGUUGAAGCCCCAUGAGAAGAACUACCAUGUUCAUGAUUUGGAGUUGGCCNNNNNNNNNNNNNNNNNNNNAUGCUUUCUCGUCAGUUGAAGCCCCAUGAGAAGAACUACCCUGUUCAUGACUUAGAGUUAGCUGCUAUAGUUCAUGCUUGGAAGAUUUGGAGGCAUUAUUUAUAUGGCGUAUCUUGUGAGGUAUUCACAGAUCAUCGCAUUCUUCAGCAUUUGUUCAAGCAGAAGGACCUUAAUUUAAGGUAACGGAGGUGGCUUGAGUUACUCAAGGACUAUGAUAUUACCAUUUUGUAUCACCCGGGGAAGGCCAAUGUAGUGGCCGAUUCUUUGAGCCGGAAGGUAGUUAGUAUGGAUAGUUUGGCGUACAUUCCAGUUAGGGAGAGGCCUUUUGCAGUUGAUGUCCAGGAUUUGGCCAAUCGGAUGGUGAGAUUGGAUAUUUCUGAGCCUAGUCAGGUGUUGGCAUGUGUGGUUUCUCGAUCUUCCUUGUAUGACCGCAUUAGAGAGCGCCAGUAUGAUGACCCGCACUUGCUUGUCCUGAAGGAGAGGGUCCAUCAUGAUGAUGCCAGAGAUGAAAGUAUUGGUGAUAAUGGUGUGUUGAGGAUGCAGGGCCGGAUUUGCGUUUCAAAUGUGGAUGGGCUUCGGAAGUUGAUAUUAGAAGAGGCCCACAGCUCACCGUAUUCCAUUCAUCCAGGUGCCGCGAAUAUGUAUCAGGAUUUGAGACAGCAUUACUGGUGGAGGAGAAUGAGAAAGGAUAUUGUGAGUUAUGUAGCUCAGUGUCUCAACUGUCAGCAGGUCAAAUAUGAGCAUCAGAGGCCCGGUGGUAUAUUUUAGUAGAUGGAUAUUCCAGAGUGGAAAUGGGAAAAGAUUACUAUAGAUUUUGUGAGUGGUCUCCAUCGGACAGCGAGGAAGUUUGAUUCGAUACGGGUGAUUAUGGAUAGGCUGACCAAGUCCAUGCACUUCAUCCCGGUGUGUACUACCUAUAUUUUGGAGCGAUUGGCGGAGAUUUUUAUAUGGGAUAUUGUAUGAUUGCAUGGGGUCCAAGUUUCCAUUGUGUCGGACACGGGUACUCGGUUUACUUCCCAAUUCUGGAAGACUUUUCAUCGAGAGUAGGGUACAUAGGUAGAGUUAAGCACAUCAUAUCAUCCUCAUAAGGACGGGCAGUCCGAGCGUACUAUUCAGAUAUUGGAGGACGUGUUGCGUACCUUUGUUAUUGAUUUUGGAGGUUCUUGGGCUGAGUUCUUGCCACUUGCAGAGUUUUCUUACAAUGACAGCUAUCAAUCCAGUAUUCAGAUGGCGCUGUAUGAGGCCUUAUAUGGGAGACGGUGUAGAUCUCCGAUUGGCUGGUUUGAGCCCGACGAGGCUAGACUAUUGAGGACAGAGUUAGUUCAGGAUGCCAUAGAGAAGGUGAAAGUAAUCCAGGAGAGACUUCAUACAGCUCAGUCACGUCAGAAAAGUUAUGCGGACCAGAAGGUUCCAUAUGUAUCUUAUAUGGUGGGCGAGAAGGUCUUGUUGAAGGUUUCGCAUAUGAAGCGCGUUAUGAGGUUUGGGAAGAAAGGGAAGCUGGGUCCAUGGUUCAUUGGACCUUUUGAGAUACUUAGGAGGAUUGGGGGGGUGGCCUAUAUGCUUGCUUUGCCAACUAGCUUUUCUGGGGUUCAUCGAGUGUUCCAUGUUUCUAUGCUCCUGAAAUAUGUUCGGGACCCGUCUCAUGAGUUAGACUUCAGCACGAUUCAGUUGGAUGAGGACUUGACCUAUGAUGUGGAGCUAGUGGCUAUUUUGGGUUGUCAGGUUCGAAAGUUGAGAUCUAAGGAUAUAGCUUCGGUGAAGGUGCAGUAGAGAGGUCGGCCCAAGGAGGAGGCCACCUGGGAGACCGAGCAGGAGAUACGGAGCAGAAAUCCUCACCUAUUUGAGACUUCAGGUAUGUUUCUUGACCCGCUCAAGGACGAGCAUUUGUUUUAGUUGGGGACGAUGUGAUGACCCGGCCCGUCGUCACGUGAGUUACCGCACCGUUUCCCUCAUAUUAUGUUUCUCUCUGCUUCUUCAUCAGUAUUUGAGGUGAUCGAGUAGAAUUGGACUGGUUUUAGAUGAAAAUGAGACACUUAUUCUCUUUAAGGAGAUUUUGGUUUGUAAUAGUCAACCGGAUGUAGACUUGUGAGUUAUAGGGCUCGGAAUGGGUUUCCGACAAUUUGGCUAGCUUCGGGGGAUGAUUUGAGUCUUAGGAGCGCAUUCGGAAGUAAUUUGGAGGCUCGGUGUAGAAUUAGGCUUCAAUCUGGCUAAGUUAGCAUUUUGGCGAUAUCCGGUAGAUAGGCGAGAUUUUGAUCCGAGGGUCGAAAUGGAGUUCCGAGAGUUACAGUAGCUCCGUUAGAUGAUUUUGGGUGUGUGUGCAAAGUUUCAGGCAAUUCGGAGGUGGUUAGGUCAGGUUUUUGAUCGAAUGUGCAAUUCGGAAGCUUUUUAAGAAUCUUAGCCUUUGAUUUGAUGACAAUUGAGGAUUUUGAUGUUAACGGUAGUGUUUUGAUUGUUCGAGCGAGCUUAAAUAAGGUAAUAGAUCAUGUUUGUGCUUUUGGUUGAGGACCCGGGGGCCUCGGGGUGAAUUCAGGUUGUUAAACGGAGAAUUCAGAGUUUGUUGCAUGUUUGAAGCUUGCUGGUUCUGUCAUUUCUUCAUCUGCUGGAAAGGGACCGCAUAAGCGGUUUCGCAGAUGCUACUAAGGGGUCGCAUAGGCAGUUUUCUAGGAGGCUUGGCCUUCCGCAGAAGCGGUCCCUAGUGAGUUUAAGUUAGACAGCAGAAGCGGUCAUUUGAACACAUAUGUGGUGACCGCAGGUGAGGUAAUUUAACCACAGAAGCGAAAAUCAACUGGGGUUUAGGUGAACAUUGUUCACGAUUUUGAAAAGAGAAGAAAACAUUUUGGGACUUCGGUUAAGGAGAUUUUUGGGCGAUUUUCGAAGAGAGUUCGAGGGGCUUUCAUCAGGUAUGAAUUAUUGGGACUCAGAUUAUAUUAUUAUGGUAUAAAAACAUGGAUUAACCACUGAAUUUCAAGGAAUUAAAGGUUAAAAAUAGAGAUUAGGGCUUGAAACUUAAGAGAGUUUAAAUGUGGAUUUAGAAGGGGCAAUUGAACUCCGACUUUGGUAAUUUUGAUGUGUAUAGACUCAUGGCAAGAUGAGGAGUCCGGUGAUGUAAAUUUUGCAAUUUUUUAAGAAGUGGGCCCAGGGCUCGGGUUUUGCCAACUUCGUGAUUUUUGGUGUUGUUCGAGUCUUUUUGAUUGGGUUGUGUUCUAUUAGCCAAUUGUAACGUAUUCGUUGUAGUUUUGGCCAAAUUCGACGUGCGAGGAGGUCGAUUUGAGAGGAAAGGGCAUUGCGGCCUACUCUUCGGUCGGCUUGAGGUGAGUAAUAGAGAUGAUGACCUGAGGGUUUGAAACCCCAGUUUAGCACACUGUGAUGCUAUAUUGUGGCGAGACACGCACUCCAUGAAGAGUGCGGGGUCGUUUGUGAUUGGGGACUGUGGCUUAGUCCGUCCCGAGUGGUGUCCAAGCUGUGCUUUGGACUAUAGACUGAUUAGUAAAUACCCUACUUAGAUUGUUAUGAUAUAUUUGGGUUGUGUGUCGAGUAUUUGAAUCCCUUGGGGAUUAUUAUCACUUCUUCCAUGAUAUUCAGGAUGCUAUAUGAUUUCAGUCCUCAGUUUUAAACAUUGUUUCGAAAUACUUAGUCACCUUCCAAAGGUUUUAAAGACCUAGACAAUAGUUUUCCUAAUAAUUGGAACCGAGAACUAAAAUCUGAGUUUGUUGUAUAACUCACAUGAAUAUUCUGGACUCAGUAUAGAUCGGGUUGCACGCCGCAAUAAUGUCACGAUGAUAUUGCGUUUGGGCUGUAGGAGCCCCUCCAGAGUCUGAACCCUCACAGUGAGCGCGGGUACCCAAACGAUCAGGUUGUAUGCCGCAGCAGUCAUGUGCAUUGUAUUGCAUUCUUGCUUUGAUAUUUAUCUGAUCUAGAUGUUUCAAUUUUGUUGCCAUUUCACCAUUAAUUAUGCUAGAUUGUUAGUUUUAGUUUUACAUCGUGGUAUUUUUGGUAUUUCUUACAUUCAAUCAUUAUAUAUGUCUAUUACCACUGAGUUGGAAGUACUCACUUUACUCUCUACACCAUGUGUGCAGAUUUAGGAGCAUCGAGAGCUUAGUUGAGCUUUUUGCCGUUUCCAUAGCUUUCAUGAGUUGUCGAGGUAGCUGCCGGACGUCCGCAGAACCCGACUCUUCCCUUUAUCCCUUUUAUCUUUUCGCAUUCUAGAACUCUGUAUUAUAUGAGGAUUUGCUACUUUGUUAUCUUAGAGGUUCAAGACUCAUGACCCCAGGUCUUUGGGAGAUGUUGUUUAUGUUAGUGUUUCUUAUUGUUUC
rnacentral:lncRNA from 1 species